rnacentral:rRNA from 1 species
AUGUUACAAAAAGCUAACACCUCUCACGCUCUACCUUUAGUGUUGUCUUCUCUUUUGCAGGAAUUCCAAGAUGUUUUCCCCGACGAGCUACCUCCGGGACUACCUCCACUACGAGGCAUCAAGCACCACAUCGACCUCAUCCCCGGAGCACCUCUUCCGAACAAAGCUCCCUACCGAUUCAACCUCGAAGAAACCAAAGAAAUACAAAGGCAAGUAAAGCAUCUCAUAAACCAUGGACAUGUUCGUGAAAGUUUGAGUCCUUGUGACGUUCCGGUCAUUCUUGUGCCAAAACGAGAUGAUAGCUCUCGCAUGUGCUCCGAUUGUAGACCUAUCAAUGCUAUCACCAUUUGCUAUAGGUAUCCCAUUCCACGCCUUGAUGAUAUGCUUGAUGAACUUAGUGGUGCCACUAGAUUUUCCAAAAUUGAUCUUAAAAGUGGUUACUAUCAA